rnacentral:rRNA from 1 species
GAUGAAUGCUGGCGGCGCGCCUAACACAUGCAAGUCGAGCGGAAAGGCCCUUCGGGGUACUCGAGCGGCGGACGGCUGAGUAACGCGUGGGAACAUGCCCCAAAGUGAGGAAUAACUGCCCGAAAGGGUAGCUAAUACCGCAUAUGAUCGUCGGAUUAAAGGAUUUAUCCGCUUUGGGAGUGGCCCGCGUACGAUUAGGUAGUUGGUGAGGUAAAGGCUCACCAAGCCGACGAUCGUUAACUGGUCUGAGAGGAUGAUCAGUCAGACUGGAACUGAGACACGGUCCAGACUCCUACGGGAGGCAGCAGUGAGGAAUCAUCCACAAUGGGCGAAAGCCUGAUGGAGCGACGCCGCGUGCAGGAUGAAGGCCUUCGGGUUGUAAACUGCUUUUAUAAGUGAAGAAUAUGACGGUAACUUAUGAAUAAGCACCGGCUAACUACGUGCCAGCAGCAGCCGCA